UAAUAGAGCUUUCUUACAAAUUGACGAAAGGUACGUAUGCUUGACGAAUCAUACGUAAGGCUCGUUUUAGGGAUCCUUUGUUUUGACAUAUUUAAAUAAUAGUCGUUGAACCUCGGACAAUUAUCGUGCAUGCAACGACACUUAUUAAAUUGGAUUUUUCUUGAGAUAUAUUUAGGAUUUCGGGACGUACGAUAGGUUAGAAUAUGAUUAUUGAUACCACCAGGUCGGAGAAGAUAACACUACAAAAUAUUCUAAAUGUAGAGUAGUCAGACGAAAAAAAAUGCACCUAGAAGACUAAAAACCGGCCCCUCCCCCACUCUUCAAUAUUACAAUGUUGCACUGUUUAACCUAAGAAAAUGUCAAAGCAAAUACAUUGUCUUCUUCCCUAACAGAAACACAAAUACUUCCUUGAUUCAAAAUUUGCAACACUAAAAAAAAUAAAAUAAAAAUGAAGAAAAAAAGAUGAUCUUCAUACUAUGCCAUAUGCUGGUGCUCGUUUCAUAACUUUUGAAUCAUCCCCCUGGUAAUAUUCAUUGCCCUCCCCCCCCUAAAUGUGUAUAUAUGAUACACCGGAGCAAUGGAACGGUUGUUUUAGCGUAUAACUGCGUUUUGCCUAUAGUCCUGAACAUUCAUGAAAUAUUAGCCACUGGACGAUAAGUGACAACUUCGCGUCUAUCUUCCAAACAUGUGUACUGUUAAAUCGUCAUUAUAAAAUCCAC
rnacentral:lncRNA from 1 species